rnacentral:rRNA from 1 species
AGCGGCAGCUUAAUACAUGCAAGUCGAGGGGCAGCAUGAAGUAGCAAUACUUUGAUGGCGACCGGCAAACGGGUGCGGAACACGUACACAACCUUCCUUUUAGUGGGGAAUAGCCCAGAGAAAUUUGGGAUUAAUACCCCGUAACAUAACCCGAGUGGCAUCACUUGGUUAUUAUAGCUUCGGCGCUAGAUGAUGGGUGUGCGUAUGAUUAGAUAGUUGGCGAGGUAACGGCUCACCAAGUCUACGAUCAUUAGCUGAUGUGAGAGCAUGAUCAGCCACACGGGCACUGAGACACGGGCCCGACUCCUACGGGAGGCAGCAGUAAGGAAUAUUGGUCAAUGGACGCAAGUCUGAACCAGCUAUGCCGCGUGAAGGAUUAAGGUCCUCUGGAUUGUAAACUUCUUUUAUCUGGGACGAAAAAAGGUCUUUCUAGACCCCUUGACGGUACCAGAUGAAUAAGCACCGGCUAACUCCGUGCCAGCAGCCGCGGUAAUACGGAGGGUGCAAGCGUUAUCCGGAUUCACUGGGUUUAAAGGGUGCGUAGGCGGGCAGGUAAGUCAGUGGUGAAAUCCUGGAGCUCAACUCCAGAACUGCCAUUGAUACUAUCUGUCUUGAAUAUUGUGGAGGUAAGCGGAAUAUGUCAUGUAGCGGUGAAAUGCUUAGAUAUGACAUAGAACACCCAUUGCGAAGGCAGCUUACUACGCAUAUAUUGACGCUGAGGCACGAAAGCGUGGGGAUCAAACAGGAUUAGAUACCCUGGUAGUCCACGCCCUAAACGAUGGAUACUCGACAUACGCGAUACACUGUGUGUGUCUGAGCGAAAGCAUUAAGUAUCCCA